CUCUCUCCCUCCCUUCCCCUGCUUGAUAUUUCUCUUUUAAGGUCUGAGGAGGAAAGCUGAAGAAAAAACAGAGUUCUUGGAUUAUUUAUAGGGCUUUGGGUGGUCUGUAGGAGGAAAGGGGUGUUACACAAAAGGAGGAAAGAACAUCUACAUAGAUUGAUGUAAGGCACUACAUGCGUGCCAAAGUUUUUUCUUCUCUUUUUUUUCCCCUCUCUUCCCCUCCCCUCAGAGACUCCGAUCUCUGCUGCCGUUUUUAAGAGGCUUUUUAAAAUCCUUAUAAAAGAGUGCUUAGGGGUGCCUCAGGAGUUUUACCAUCAUUUGGUUACCCUCUAUGUGCAUGCAAGUUGGGCUGCAAGGUUUUACAGGAUUUCUCCCUCUUUGGACUCAGCCAAAAAGCAAGGUUUUGUCACCCAGAUUUCACACAGCCCUGAUUUGGAUCAUCUCGUUGAAGCAGCCUCAGUGCAGAACUCUGGCACUGUCCAAAGUUGCCAGCUAGAUCUCAGCUGGCUGGAGCGUCUUCCUCAUACCAGUGAGUUUCUUCUAAAAUAACAAUUGGUGAUGAUGAUGAUGAUGAUGCAUGGAAACAGAAGAGCAUAGAAGAGAUACAUAAAAGUCCUACAAAAUGAGAAAGGGAAAU
rnacentral:lncRNA from 1 species